CCUACGGGUGGCAGCAGUGAGGAAUAUUGGUCAAUGGACGCAAGCCUGAACCAGCCAUGCCGCGUGCAGGAAGACGGCUCUAUGUAUUGUAAACUGCUUUUGUACGAGGGUAAACGCAGAUACGCGUAUCUGUCUGAAAGUAUCGUACGAAUAAGGAUCGGCUAACUCCGUGCCAGCAGCCGCGGUAAUACGGAGGAUUCAAGCGUUAUCCGGAUUUAUUGGGUUUAAAGGGUGCGUAGGCGGUCGGAUAAGUUAGAGGUGAAAUCCCGAGGCUCAACUUCGGAAUUGCCUCUGAUACUGUUCGGCUAGAGAUUAGGUGCGGUAGGCGGAAUGUAUGGUGUAGCGGUGAAAUGCUUAGAGAUCAUACAGAACCCCGAUUGCGAAGGCAGCGUACCAAGCCACUUCUGACGCUGAGGCACGAAAGCGUGGGGAGCAAACAGGAUUAGAUACCCCAGUAGUC
rnacentral:rRNA from 1 species